rnacentral:rRNA from 1 species
GACGAACGCUGGCGGCGUGCUUAACACAUGCAAGUCGAACGGUAAGGCCCUUUCGGGGGUACACGAGUGGCGAACGGGUGAGUAACGCGUGGGUGAUCUGCCCUGCACUUUGGGAUAAGCCUGGGAAACUGGGUCUAAUACCGGAUAGGACUACGCGAUGCAUGUCGUGUGGUGGAAAGCUUUUGCGGUGUGGGAUGGGCCCGCGGCCUAUCAGCUUGUUGGUGGGGUGAUGGCCUACCAAGGCGACGACGGGUAGCCGGCCUGAGAGGGUGUCCGGCCACACUGGGACUGAGAUACGGCCCAGACUCCUACGGGAGGCAGCAGUGGGGAAUAUUGCACAAUGGGCGCAAGCCUGAUGCAGCGACGCCGCGUGGGGGAUGACGGCCUUCGGGUUGUAAACCCCUUUCAGCACAGACGAAGCGUAAGUGACGGUAUGUGCAGAAGAAGCACCGGCCAACUACGUG